rnacentral:tRNA from 1 species
GCAUGUGUAGUUUAAUGGUAAAACACAUCUCUGAUAAAGAUGAGAGCGAUGGUCCGAUUCCAUCCACAUGCACCA